rnacentral:tRNA from 1 species
AGGAAUAUGGCUCUGUGGUAGAACAUUUGCCUGGCAAGCAUGAGAACCUGGGUUCAAUCCCCAGCACUACAA